GACGAACGCUGGCGGCGUGCUUAACACAUGCAAGUCGAACGCUGAAGCUCAGCUUUUGUUGGGUGGAUGAGUGGCGAACGGGUGAGUAACACGUGAGUAACCUGCCCCCUUCUUUGGGAUAACGCCCGGAAACGGGUGCUAAUACUGGAUAUUCACUGGUCUUCGCAUGGGGGUUGGUGGAAAGGGCUUUUCUGGUGGGGGAUGGGCUCGCGGCCUAUCAGCUUGUUGGUGGGGUGAUGGCCUACCAAGGCUUUGACGGGUAGCCGGCCUGAGAGGGUGACCGGUCACAUUGGGACUGAGAUACGGCCCAGACUCCUACGGGAGGCAGCAGUGGGGAAUAUUGCACAAUGGGCGCAAGCCUGAUGCAGCGACGCCGCGUGAGGGGUGGAGGCCUUCGGGUUGUGAACCUCUUUCGCUCAUGGUCAAGCCGCAACAAUGGUUGUGGUGAGGGUAGUGGGUAAAGAAGCGCCGGCUAACUACGUG
rnacentral:rRNA from 1 species